rnacentral:rRNA from 1 species
UACGUAGGUGACAAGCGUUGUCCGGAUUUACUGGGUGUAAAGGGCGCGUAGGCGGGAUAGCAAGUCAGAAGUGAAAUACCGGGGCUCAACCUCGGGGCUGCUUUUGAAACUGCUAUUCUUGAGUAUCGGAGAGGAAAGCGGAAUUCCCAGUGUAGCGGUGAAAUGCGUAGAUAUUGGGAGGAACACCAGUGGCGAAGGCGGCUUUCUGGACGACAACUGACGCUGAGGCGCGAAAGUGUGGGGAGCAAACAGG